rnacentral:rRNA from 1 species
UACGUAGGGGGCAAGCGUUGUCCGGAUUUAUUGGGCGUAAAGCGCGCGUAGGUGGCCAUUUAAGUCCGCUGUGAAAGUCAAAGGCUCAACCUUUGAAAGCCGGUGGAUACUGGAUGGCUAGAGUACGGAAGAGGCGAGUGGAAUUCCUGGUGUAGCGGUGGAAUGCGCAGAUAUCAGGAGGAACACCAAUAGCGAAGGCAGCUCGCUGGGACGUUACUGACACUGAGGCGCGAAAGCGUGGGGAGCGAACAGG